rnacentral:lncRNA from 10 species
GUCUGCUUUUGCCACUUAACAAUAUAUCUGGAAAUGGCGUCUUAUCAAUCCCUGGAGAAGGGGGCUGGGCCUGGGUUGGAGGGAACCCAGCAGGCUGGGAAGGAGGGGUCUGGAGCAUUUUCUUCUCCAGGCAACAGCAACACUGGUGGUGGGGGAUUGACCUGGGGUUUCCAGGAAUAGAUGUUGCUGGAAUGCUUGAAAGAAUAUUAGGAGAGAAUGUGAGUGCUCAGUAUGGUCCGGGCUCUGAUCCUAAGCAGCCUGAUGCAUCUCAGUUGAGACUGGAUUCCUCGGCCAUCCUGGGGUUUGUAGGAGGAUGGCACUGGGCUACAUAGCAGCUCCCCUAAAUUUACAUCUACCCAGAAAUGGGGAACAUGACCUUAUUUGGAAGAAGGGCCUUUGCAGAUGUGAUUAAGUCAAGGUGAGGUCAUACUAGAUUUGUGUGGGCCCUAAACCCAGUGACUGGAGUCUUACAAGAGGAGGGGACACACAGCAAGGCCGGGGAGAAGGCCGCGUGACCCCGGGGACAGAGAUGGGAGCAGCGCAGCCACAAGUCAAGAAUGCUAAUGGUUGCCAGCAACACCAGAAGCUGGGAGAGCAAGAAACGGAUUCUCUUCUAGAGCUGCCAGAGUGGGGCUGGCUCUCCUGACGCCUUAAGCUCAGGCUUCUGGCCUCAGAACCAAGAGGGAAUACACUUCUGUUGGUCUCAGCCACCCCGUUGGUGGCACUUUGCUUGGCAGCUUCAGGACACUCACAGAGAUGGGAUGGUCUCUGAGGCUGAGAUAGAUGUUACAAAUAGGACUGUCUCCCCAGGACAGGCGGCCUGUGCUAGUGGCUGGAACCUCUGUCGUGUCAUGGCAACACAGCCAACGGCUGCUGUGUGUCCCUCCCAACCCCAGGUCCCAGUCCUUGGACAACUCAUGGGACAGUGCGGGGAGCACAGAGGUAAAUCUCCCUGCCGCAGAUGCCACUGCUGCCUGUGGGUGGGGUCCCUCGGUGCGGGUUCCUCUGCACCUGCUGUCCUGUGUGUCCUGCUGGGCCAGUGUCACCUGGGCUUCCCUCACACCCACUCCCCACUGACUAAGGAGGCCACACAGACCGAGGCCUGAGCCCCAGCCCGCUGCCUGCAGGUUCAGACACUUGGGCAUGUUUCUUAGCCAUUUGGAGCCUCGGUUUUCCCAUCUGGGAAAUGGGGACAAUGAUAUCUCAGAGACACUGUAGUGAUCACCGGAGAGGACCACAGACCACUCUCAGUGGGGGUGCCAGGCAUCGUGUCCAUGUUUGGCGAGGAAGGAUUCAGCCUGACCCUUGGCUUCCUCCAUCCCAGAUGUCCCUUGAGGCACGUGGCCUGGGGUGGGGGAUCCGGAGAAGAAGGGAGACAGGCCACGACGUACGGUGACCCCAGGCUAGGCCCACAGACCCGGGUAGAUCGCCACCACUCCCACUGGAAUUCUCAGGGCUGUACACUCAUUGUUUGGAAAUAAUUAUUUUUGUGCAGUCCUUAGUUUCCGUAAUUAAUUCUUUGAUAACAGUCCCUUCUAUAAUAGCUCCUCACAAAGAUUCUAUAGAAAGCACCAGGCGGUUUCAGCUGAGCCGGCAGCAACAGCCUUUUCUCUGAGCUCGAGGUCUAGGCACAGUCACAGCGGCAGAGAAAUGCUGGGUAAAGAGGCCCUGGGCGUUGGGAGGGGCGCCAGCAGAGCAAGGGGCUUCCCACCGCCGCCUCCCUCCCCACAGGCUGGUCAGGCGGCCAGGCUACAGGGGCCCUGCUCUGCAGAAGGCCUUUCCUUCCAGAGCCCUGCAGCCUCUGGGAGCCAGCACCGGCCCCACCAAGCCAAUCCUCGGAGUGGGUGGAGUGGGGCCUGGGGGCUCGAACCCCCAGACCGACGGCCACAGCUUGUCGUCUAUGGCGCUCUGUGAUGGGAUGGGGGGACUGCCACAGAGGGAAGAAAGAGAAUCGGCCCCUGCCUUCCCAGGGGCCUGAUCCUACGGGGAGGUGGGACACUCACGCUCAAGGGCCCAGAUGCUGUAAACACAGCUGUCCCAGGUGGUCCAGGUCAGGAAGAGGCUCAGAUGGGUCGGAGUCCCACCUCCACGGCGGUUUUGGAGAACAGCCCAGGGGCAAGUGAGUCUGUAGAUGUAUCUGGCCACCCCGGAGACUCCCCUCUUCCACCUGUUGGGAGCCAGAAAGCCUCCAUCUUCCUGCCCCGCCUCGGUCUGCCACUCAUAAAGCCUAGACCAUCCUACUUCGAUAUUGCAACAUUGCAUGGCUGGGGUCCUUUUGGUUGAAGUGACAGAAUCCCAACCCAAGCUCAUUUCAGAAAAGAAGGGCGUUUGCAGGUUGACUUGCCUAGAAAAUGUGGGGUAGAGUGGCUUCAGGUGUAGCUGGGUCCAGGAGUUCAGAGG